rnacentral:rRNA from 1 species
UAGGGAAUAUUGCAAAAUGGGCGAAAGCCCGAUGCAGCAACGCCGCGUGCACGAUGAAGGCCUUCGGGUCGUAAAGUGCUUUUAGAGAGGAUGAGGAAGGACAGUACUUUCUGAAUAAGCCUCGGCUAACUACGUGCCAGCAGCCGCGGUAAAACGUAGGAGGCAAGCGUUAUCCGGAUUUACUGGGCGUAAAGCGCAUGCAGGUGGUUUUGUAAGUUGGAUGUGAAAGCUCCUGGCUUAACUGGGAGAGGUCGUUCAAAACUACAAGACUUGAGAUUGGUAGAGGAAAAUGGAAUUCCGGGUGUAGUGGUGAAAUGCGUAGAUAUCCGGAGGAACACCAGUGGCGAAAGCGGUUUUCUGGACCAAUUCUGACUCUCAGAUGCGAAAGCUAAGGUAGCAAACG